rnacentral:misc_RNA from 1 species
UAUCAACAUAUAGCUUUUUAAGUGCUACUUUUUGGCUAUUAUUAUUGUAACUUUUAGUGAGUUUGAUCUUUCAACUGCCUGGAAAGUUCACUCCUUUAUUGGGAAUCUUCUACUAGUUCCUUCUUGUUUAGAUGUUCUUGGAUUUGGGUGCACUUGGUUACCAAGUUUUCCAUUGACUGGUCUUAUCAAUUGUGAAUAGAAAGUCAUUGCGUAUUUCUGUACUGAUGCUUCGUACUGCCCUUGAUGAUGCUCCCUAUAUCUGUAAUGGCCGCAUUCUACAUUUCCAUGAUUUCAACAGGGAGCACCUUCAUCAGUGAAGCUAUGGGAACUGAUGGUGUAAAGAAGCGAUGAUGUUUUCGACUUACUAGAUUUAGCCAUAGUGGCCCCCUUUGACGAUGGGAAUUUGAGAUUGUGGGACUAUCUUAAUGGGACAAUCCAAUUCCAUAAUACAUACAACUGUGCAGCAGUAGUUCAAUGAAAAUGAGAAUUGAAAACCACCAACUUUUUGAUAGUGGUCUUCCUUUGUUGUAACCUUGUUGGUUUUUCUUGAUUCCUGCGAUUAGGACCAAUACAACAUGUUGAAUGUGCAUCUCUUUACCAAUAAUGAAAUUUCAUAUUUUGAUGGUCACAAUGAACACAGUGGUGUUCAUGUGCAUUUAUGCAUAGUUUACUUGAUAGUUAAG